ACUUAAGCACCGGUUCCCGUAUGAUCACUGAAGUUAAGCAACAUCAAGCCUGGUCAGUACUUAGAUGGGUGGCUGCUUGGGAAUACUGCGUGCUGUAAU